GAUGAACGCUAGCGAUAGGCUUAACACAUGCAAGUCGAGGGGCAGCACAAGGUAGCUUGCUCUCUGGGUGGCGACCGGCGCACGGGUGCGUAACGCGUAUGCAACUUGCCCUAUACAGGAGGAUAACCCGUCGAAAGACGGACUAAUACUGCGUAUGCUCACAACUUGGCAUCAAGUGGUGAGGAAAGAAAUUCGGUAUAGGAUGGGCAUGCGUCCCAUUAGCUUGUUGGUGAGGUAACGGCUCACCAAGGCAACGAUGGGUAGGGGAACUGAGAGGUUUAUCCCCCACACUGGUACUGAGACACGGGCCAGACUCCUACGGGAGGCAGCAGUGAGGAAUAUUGGUCAAUGGGCGCGAGCCUGAACCAGCCAAGUCGCGUGAAGGAUGACUGUCUUAUGGAUUGUAAACUUCUUUUAGACGGGAAUAACAAGAGUCACGUGUGACUCCCUGCAUGUACCGUAUGAAUAAGCAUCGGCUAACUCCGUG
rnacentral:rRNA from 1 species